NNNNNNNNCGUGUCCAACUUUGACUGUCCGUCUUAUAUGAAAUUUUUUUAUAAUUCGUAUUUUUAUUGUUGUUAGAUGAUAAAACAUGAUUAAUACUUUGUGCGUGAAUUGUCUUUUUAAUUUUUUUUAUAAUUUUUUCAAAUAAGACGGACGGUCAAAUGUUGGGCACGGAAACCAGGGUUUGACUUUUU
rnacentral:pre_miRNA from 1 species